GGGAAUAUUUUUUUUUGCUGUUUUCACAGCUUUUUCCGGAGCCGCGAGUGGAACCCGUGGAGGUAACAGACGCAGAAAGUCGCGCAGCUUCUCCCGCUCUUGGCCCCGCCGGGCUCCGUCCUCCCGGCGCCCGGCGCCCCGGGUGUGGGGUUUCCUCACACGGCUCCUUCCUCCUCCAAGGAGCGCCGGGCGGCAGAUGUUCAUUGUUAGAAGGAAACGUAAUCAACCGCGGCUGUUUCUUGUCUGAGAUAAUGCCAACGCCCCGGGGAGGUGCCAAACCUGGCGGGGGGAUCGCAGCGGGGGCCGGGAGGACCGGCCGGCAAGUUAAAAGGGAAAACGAGGUUGGAGAUCUUCAUUAGCGGCUUUUCAUUUUUCGGGUGGAGCCGAGAGGAGAGGGGAAGCGGUCAGGGAGGAAGCGGACGCUUGGCUGCUGACUGUGUAGGGGACGCGGCGGGGAGACCGAGGCUGCGAAGAGGCUUUAUGCUGCAGGCCCUUCCGUAAUAAGCACUUGUCCCUGCUGUCGGGACACGCUGCCCCCAAGCAAGGAAGGCCCCUGCGGGUGCAUUCCCAGGGCGACACACACCGACCCAGGUUGCCUCAGCCUGUGAAAAGCUCAACGAUCAACCGAACACCCUCCAAUCAGUUCUCAGUUUCAUUAAUCUUCUUUCUACUACGAAGUAACAAUAGAAAGGAGUAAGUUCCCAGCAGCAUUCAAGCUCUUAGAAGAUCAAUCAUGAAGGGCGAGAGGGAAAACACAGGCUUUUUCCCGGAUAGAAUGCUUUCCUUUUAUCCAGAAAACCCCCAAUAACCCAUACAGUUGAAAGGGUGGCUUGUACUGAAACGCUUUUCGGAUUAAAUAGUGUUGAGAGAAGGGGUGAUCUUUAGGGGGGGGACUGCAGGAGAGGUUAAAGUGGAGAGGCUACUGUUGGCAAAGUACCACUAGCAGGACACCCCCCCACAGGAGUCAGGUCGCUGGCGAGGUCCGGGGGCAGAGCCAGGGUGCCUGCCUUGGGGACGAAGUCCGCGGGGAGGCUCUCCAGCAGACACUUGACCUGCUCCUGGCCCAGCUUGAUCCUGUCGUCCAGCUUUCGCUGCUCGAUGAGGAGCGUGGACUUCAUUUUCACAAAAUGCUGGUAAUCCUGGAGCUGCUCCUCUGAGAGGUAAUUGGCCAGGAUGUCCAACACCACACGCUCCCGUCGGUCCAGGUUCUCCUUGAGCUCCCGGGCGUCCUCGUGCUGCCCAGCCAGGACCUUCCUCUUCUCAUUAAGAGAGCUCUGCCAAGAAGAGAUGAGCAGGUGGACAUCUGGGUUGCUUCCACUUGUUUGCUAUUGUGAAUAGUGCUGCUAUGAACAUGGGCACACCUACAGGAGCAAGAGCACAUAACUACAGAAGGCUGCUCUUGGCAGUGAAGGAGUGCUUUGUUCUGCAGACCCGAUCCUCCGGCACAGAGUGGAAGGGAUCAGCCACACAAGGAGGCCCUGUGUGUGAGAGCUGGAGGAUGUACCUGAGAAGAGCACAACCACAACGAUUCUGAGGCUCAGCUUACAAGAAGUCAACCACUGCCUCAACAGAGCACGUUCAAAACCUAUUAUGUAUAGUAUUCUUAGAGAAAGGCGUGUAUAAGUAAAAAAUGAAGUUCCCCAUGGCCAAGACAAACUGAAAAGGCAGCACAUGACACUAGGAAACAUCGUAACAUCACGUUUCAGUUUCUGGUAGAGAGGAACAGAAACAUUUAACUCCAGCAGCAUUCACAAGGUAGAGGGCAUCAUAAACACAUACGUACCUGGGUCC